AGCGGCUGCUCAGCUCGGGCCGGGAAUGUUUUUAUUUUUUUCUAUACUCCAUGUUAUUCUGUCUGAUUUCUGGAAGUGGGAAGAUUCAGAAGUAAGGGACACCCAUAUUCCUACUAGGACCUGAAGUCAGAUGUUAAAGAUAAGCCACAAGUCUAUACUGCUUAUGGCUUGUUCGUGGCUCUCCGGUGAAUACUGUCUGAGGCUGCCUCUCACCCCUGAGUAGACAUCCUCCUCACACACAUUGAAAUUUAAAACCGGUGGCCUCGUGAGGACACCUCAGUUUGUUGGAGCUUAAGGAAUAAAGAAGGACCCUGCCAAGGUCUUUGUGCCCAGGACUAUCAUGAUCGGGGGCAAGGCAGCCCCUGGUUACCACAUGGCCAAGAUGAUCAUCAAGCUGGUUACCUCUAUCGGUGAUGUCGUCAACCAUGAUCCAAUUGUGGGCGACAGGCUCAAAGUGAUCUUCCUAGAGAACUACCGAGUGUCCUUGGCUGAAAAAGGUACCUCUGGUGAGACUGUGUUAGACCAGAAAGCCCGUCCCUGCUUGGGCGUGAUGUGGGUGGUCAUUCCUGGUCAAGGGUUAACUCUGUCCCGGAUACCAGGCUCCCCAGCCAAAGGGGGUCUUCAGUCUAGCAUUUCAAGGCUUUGGGGAACUCUCUAUCUGUCCUCAAGUGCGGAAAAUUACUCUCAACCUUGGAUGUCCUUUGUCUCUGUACUUUCUUGCUCCUGUCCUGACCCCAUUAUCUCUCCCCCUUCCUCUCGCCUCAGCUUCUCAGUUUUGCCUUUCUGCUGCUGCUGGACUCACACUUGCUGGCAGGAUGUGCUUCCAUGCAAUUCCCCUUCCCCUUCGUCUUCCCCUUCCCUACCCGCAGAGGAUGCUUCUGCUCGUCACCACCUGCUCACUCUCAAGAGCAUUCAUUGCCUGCUUCUUAUCUGGGCCAGCGCGCUACUUCUUCUGUCCUUCCCAAGGGCAACUCGGGGCCUGACAUCUCGCCCCGCUUUACUGAGAGUUCAGUCUGGGGCCACUCCACUUUGGGGAGACUUGCCUAGGAUGUGUUCCUAGGAGAAGGUUCUGAAGAAGAUCCUGCAGCCGAAUGUGCCUCAGAGCGUGACUAUCCUGAUCUGGUCUCUUCUGGGCAUAUUGGCUGGAAAGCACCUGCCCAACCAAAUGGUGGAAAGCUGUGCCUGGAAUUCUGGCACCAAGUAGCAGGCACCUCUGUGGUUCAGACGGACCAUUUGCUGUUUCCUGGGCUUUGUCUGAGUAAAGG